UUUCCGCACUAUCCUCCGCUCGCAGUUGGUGGCCUUAUACGUCCCUGGGUAUUUUAUCUUCAUGCAGCCUCUCAGCUUUUCCGUGUGCGCUCGAUUCGGACGACUGUCGUCGGCCUUUAUUUCCUGCCGGCUAGCGCCCAACAAGCCGCUAUCGAGAAGUUUUACCAUCGGACGUCGAAUCAUGACGGUAGAGGGAAAACCUAAAGGAGAGCUUUUCUCCUACUCUUCGGGGCGGUUUCUUUACAACGAACAAAUGCGGCUCCAAGAA
rnacentral:sRNA from 2 species